rnacentral:rRNA from 1 species
GCUCAAAUUUUGAAUCUGGUGUCUUUGACCCCCGAGUUGUAAUCUAGAGAAGUGUUUUCCGUGUCGGACCGUGCACAAGUUCCCUGGAACGGGGCGUCAUAGAGGGUGAGAAUCCCGUAUAUGGCACAGACUGCCGAUGCUUUUGUGAUACACUCUCAACGAGUCGAGUUGUUUGGGAAUGCAGCUCAAAAUGGGUGGUAAAUUCCAUCUAAAGCUAAAUAUUGGCGAGAGACCGAUAGCGAACAAGUACCGUGAGGGAAAGAUGAAAAGCACUUUGGAAAGAGAGUGAAACAGUACGUGAAAUUGUUGAAAGGGAAGCGUUUGAAGUCAGUCGUAUCUGGCGGGAUUCAGCUGGGCUUUUGCCCGGUGUACUUUUCGUCCGAUGGGUCAGCAUCAAUUUCGAUCGGGGGAAAAAGAUGUGGGGAAUGUGGCUGUCUUCGGGCAGUGUUAUAGCCCC